GUGCUCACUUUGGCAGCACACAUACUAAAAUUAGAACGAUACACAGAAGAUUAGCAUGGCCCCUGUGCAAGGACGACAUGCAAAUUUGUGAAGCAUUUCGUAUUUUU
ensembl:snRNA U6 U6 spliceosomal RNA